GGUCAUGAGUGUCAGCGCGUAGCCCCGGCUUGCUGACCGGCAACCCUUCAUCGCGAUGGGGUGCCCCGGGUGAGGACCUGGCCGACGCCGCCCGGUGUUCGGCAAGCGCGAGCA
rnacentral:ncRNA from 2 species